CGGAUAGAUGAUCGCGUACUGUUUGCCGUUGCUCGUGAACGGUAUGGGCAUUUUGGACUGGUUUUUUUCGGCCACCCAUAGCGAACAGUCGUCGUCGUUUUUAACUAUAAUAAUAUCGAGGUACCUAUUCAGACGUUUUCAAUUUCACGGCUCAUUCGUUUCUUCACAACAUUUUGGAGGCUCUCAUUUUAUUAAGGACACAGAUAGAGAAUGUUUUGAUGUUAAACUAUGUAUUGAAAAUUGAAAUUAAAUGUUUCACGUUUGGAAUAAAAUAAUAUUAUAUUAAUUUUUAUCAUCGUUAUCAAUAUUUAGCAUAUACUGUUACACACAUGACUAAUAUUAUGAAAUUAUAAAUUAUUAUCAUGUAAAUGUUGUAAAUACUAGUUAAUGUGUUGAAGUCCAUUUUUAAAAAAAUAUUAUUUGUAUAUUUAUUUUCAUUAUUAUUAGUUACAGUUAUUUUUAUUGUAUCUAAAAGACAAUAAUAAAUAGACAUUAAAAAGCACAUAAAGAUUUAUUCCCAAUUAAACGUAAAAAAAUAAAUUAUAUUUUCAUAUUCAAAUCAAUUUUUAAAUAAAUACGAGGGGGGAAAUGCCAUAAUCCACAGAAAAUAGGGAUCAUUGGAAAAUAAAAUUUUCUAUUUAACCUACACGCUACACUUAAUUAUAUUGUAUUUUAUGUCAUAAAAUAUCCCCUCCCUUAGAGACCGAGAAAAUCUCUUACCAUUGUUAUUUGUUCGUCAGUAUUACGUCCAGUCUUGCAGUAAAAGUAUUCAUAUACGAGUAUAUUGU